CAGACAUGGAAGGACAUGCAUGACACACUUCUCCAAGAAAUCAUGGAAAAGCCUCAGAUAGUGGCAGCUGCUGGCAGGGUCAGGAAGCUGCACACCUGACCAUUCCUGAGUGAAGAGACUACCAGGAGAGGCAAGACCAUCCAGAGCUGCAGACACUGAAGUCUUGGCCCACACAGACAACUGGAUGACAAGAGGAGAUAGAGAGACCCCACCUGCACUCACUGGAAGAAGACAGGGGAAGAAGACUGAAUAAGAACACACUC
rnacentral:lncRNA from 1 species